AUUGAACGCUGGCGGCAUGCCUUACACAUGCAAGUCGAACGGCAGCGCGGGAGCAAUCCUGGCGGCGAGUGGCGAACGGGUGAGUGAUGUAUCGGAACGUGCCCAUUAGUGGGGGAUAGCCCGGCGAAAGCCGGAUUAAUACCGCAUACGACCUGAGGGUGAAAGCGGGGGAUCGCAAGACCUCGCGCGAUUUGAGCGGCCGAUAUCAGAUUAGCUAGUUGGUGGGGUAAAGGCCUACCAAGGCAACGAUCUGUAGUUGGUCUGAGAGGACGACCAGCCACACUGGGACUGAGACACGGCCCAGACUCCUACGGGAGGCAGCAGUGGGGAAUUUUGGACAAUGGGCGCAAGCCUGAUCCAGCAAUGCCGCGUGCAGGAAGAAGGCCUUCGGGUUGUAAACUGCUUUUGUCAGGGAAGAAAUCCUUUGGGCUAAUACCUCGGAGGGAUGACGGUACCUGAAGAAUAAGCACCGGCUAACUACGUGCCAGCAGCCGCAGUAA
rnacentral:rRNA from 1 species